rnacentral:rRNA from 1 species
UACGGAGGGUGCAAGCGUUAAUCGGAAUUACUGGGCGUAAAGCGCGCGUAGGCGGUGAUUUAAGUCGGAUGUGAAAGCCCUGGGCUCAACCUGGGAACUGCAUUCGAUACUGGGUCACUAGAGUACGAGAGAGGGAGGUAGAAUUCCACGUGUAGCGGUGAAAUGCGUAGAUAUGUGGAGGAAUACCAGUGGCGAAGGCGGCCUCCUGGCUCGAUACUGACGCUGAGGUGCGAAAGCGUGGGGAGCAAACAGG